AAAAGUGAGUAAUAUUUAGAUUUUUUAAUUUGAACCGUUUCAUCUAAGACAUUUGAUCCAAGGAUUAGGAUAAAUGGGAAGAAGCUAUAAAUAGCUAGCUAAUUCUUGUGUUAGGGAGGAGGAUUUUCGGUAGAAUUGUAGGAGACCAUUGGAGAGAAACCAGAUAGUGGUAAUUUAGGAGAAACUUUAAUAGUGGUGUUUCCAUACGAUUUGAGAAGUUGCGGCAUCAUUGGUUCCUCUUUAUCAAUCUAAGUAACAUUGCUAUUUUGUUUUUAUUCGCGAAACACAGAUUUCGUCUCUCUCUCUUCCAGACGAGUUUAUCUCCUGCAGAAAUGGUUUCUCUUCAUUUCCAGAUCUGAAACAAUUAUUCUCUCUCGAAAUCAAGUUCUCACACAGUUAAACAUCGCCAACAACUCGUGUUCUUGCGAUUUCAGUGAUGAGAAGAUCUGAAGAAGAAUCAACCAAAUGAUACGAACCUAAAUCCGAGCAUAAAGAAACUCGAUUCAAUUCAAUCGAAGAGAAACAUCUACAAAAAUGAACCAAAUUUAAUCUUCUACCAUAGUUUGAUUAUGUUGGAAGAAACCUUUACUAGAAAUGAUACUUGUUGGCUUCUAGCCAUGCUGAGUAUGAGGAGGUGGUGGUGGUGGUGGCGCAGAUGCAGGUUUUAGUGGGGGAUUUUUGACCUGUUGAGUGGUGGAGAAGUAAGUGGAGGUGUCAUGUUCAGCAGUGGUGGUGGAAUUGCAGAGUGUUUCAACUGUUCCAUUAAGUUUGUGAUUCUAGGAGGUUGUGGUGGAGGAAGUGCAGGUUAUAGAUGAGGAUUUGGAGCCAAUAUUGGUGCUGAUGGCGGUGUUUUCAAUGUCAAUUUGUAUAUAAUAACUUGUUUGUGUUGCUUGCAGUGAAUAUUUGGUAUGUAGAGGAUCUGCAGGCUAGGUAAAGUGAAAAAAUAGGGAUUGAAAUCAGGAUUUUUGGUGUUUGGUCUGAUUGGAACAAGUCAAGUUAGUGAUGAAGGUGAUGUUGAGUUCAAGGCUGUUCUUUUUGUUCCUCCAAAGGCUCCUCAUGAUCUGUAUGGGAGUUACUACAAUGCUAACAAGUCCAACUUGAAGUUAUACGUCAGACGUGUCUUCAUCUCAGAUGGAUUCGAUGAUCUUCUGCCCAAGUACCUGAACUUUUUGAUGGGAAACACAUUAGGAAGUUGGUUAAAGAUGGAUUCAUCAGCUGCAAACCAAACCACAUUCACUCUCCAUAUCAUGCACGAAGAAUGACAAAAGCCAGAUUGAGGGGUUUUCACUCUGGAUAUGGUUCAGUUAGUGAUUGAGAAUUUAGAGCAAUUGUUCCUGAAACAAUAAAAAUGAGCGGCUUGUUGUCAAUGAUGAUCGAGGUGAUAAGUUAAUGCUACUGCGAGAAAAUCCAGAUGCCCCUAUAUAUCUCUGUCUAUAGAUAUGCAAGCAUUUUGGAGGGAGGAAGACAAGAAGGAAAGGAAAAGAUUUAAACUUCAU